rnacentral:rRNA from 1 species
AGUAGUCACGUAGUUUGAUCCUGGCUCAGAACGAACGCUGGCGGCAUGCCUAACACAUGCAAGUCGAACGAGACCUUCGGGUCUAGUGGCGCACGGGUGCGUAACACGUGGGAAUUUGCCUCGGGGUAUGGAAUAACUCAGGGAAACUUGAGCUAAUACCAUAUAAUGUCUUCGGACCAAAGAUUUAUCGCCCUGAGAUAAGCCCGCGUAGGAUUAGCUAGUUGGUGAGGUAAAGGCUCACCAAGGCGACGAUCCUUAGCUGGUCUGAGAGGAUGAUCAGCCACACUGGGACUGAGACACGGCCCAGACUCCUACGGGAGGCAGCAGUGGGGAAUAUUGGACAAUGGGCGAAAGCCUGAUCCAGCAAUGCCGCGUGAGUGAUGAAGGCCUUAGGGUUGUAAAGCUCUUUUACCCGAGAUGAUAAUGACAGUAUCGGGAGAAUAAGCUCCGGCUAACUCCGCG